rnacentral:rRNA from 1 species
CCUACGGGAGGCAGCAGUGAGGAAUAUUGGUCAAUGGACGAGAGUCUGAACCAGCCAAGUAGCGUGAAGGAUGACUGCCCUAUGGGUUGUAAACUUCUUUUAUAUGGGAAUAAAAUUUUCCACGUGUGGGAUUUUGUAUGUACCAUAUGAAUAAGGAUCGGCUAACUCCGUGCCAGCAGCCGCGGUAAUACGGAGGAUCCGAGCGUUAUCCGGAUUUAUUGGGUUUAAAGGGAGCGUAGGUGGAUUGUUAAGUCAGUUGUGAAAGUUUGCGGCUCAACCGUAAAAUUGCAGUUGAAACUGGCAGUCUUGAGUACAGUAGAGGUGGGCGGAAUUCGUGGUGUAGCGGUGAAAUGCUUAGAUGUCACGAAGAACUCCGAUUGCGAAGGCAGUUCACUGGACUGCAACUGACACUGAGGCUCGAAAGUGUGGGUAUCAAACAGGAUUAGAUACCCUUGUAGUC